UACGUAGGGGGCAAGCGUUGUCCGGAUUUAUUGGGCGUAAAGAGCGUGUAGGCGGCCAUGUAGGUCCGUUGUGAAAACUCGAGGCUCAACCUCGAGACGCCGAUGGAAACCAUGUGGCUAGAGUCCGGAAGAGGCGAGUGGAACUCCUGGUGUAGCGGUGGAAUGCGCAGAUAUCAGGAAGAACACCGACGGCGAAGGCAGCUCGCUGGGACGGUACUGACGCUGAGGCGCGAAAGCGUGGGGAGCGAACAGG
rnacentral:rRNA from 1 species